GUCAGUGUGGCCGAGCGGUCUAAGGCGCCAGACUCAAGUGGAGGCACUUACUGGGAUUUCUGGUCCUCUGACGAGGGCGUGGGUUCGAAUCCCACCGCUGACA
rfam:Hydatigera taeniaeformis genome assembly, scaffold: TTAC_contig0018677